GAAAGAGAGAUUAACACCGCAUAACAUCAUUUACCGGCAUCGGUUUUUGAUCAAAUAUUUAUAGGAUAUGGAUGGGCUCGCGUGACAUUAGCUAGUUGGAGAGGUAACGGCUCACCAAGGCUACGAUGUCUAGGGGCUCUGAGAGGAGAAUCCCCCACACUGGUACUGAGACCGGGACCAGACUCAUACGGGAGGCAGCAGUAAGGAAUAUUGGUCAAUGGAGGCAACUCUGAACCAGCCAUGCCGCGUGCAGGAUGACUGCCCUAUGGGUUGUAAACUGCUUUUGUCAGGGAAUAAACCUUUCUACGUGUAGGAAGCUGAAUGUACCUGAAGAAUAAGGAUCGGCUAACUCCGUGCCAGCAGCCGCGGUAAUACGGAGGAUCCAAGCGUUAUCCGGAUUUAUUGGGUUUAAAGGGUGCGUAGGCGGUCCUAUAAGUCAGUGGUGAAAGACGGCAGCUUAACUGUCGCAGUGCCUUUGAUACUGUAGGACUUGAAUCUAUUUGAAGUGGGCGGAAUAAGACAAGUAGCGGUGAAAUGCAUAGAUAUGUCUUAGAACUCCGAUUGCGAAGGCAGCUCACUAAGUUAGUAUUGACGCUGAUGCACGAAAGCGUGGGGAUCAAACAGGAUUAGAUACCCUGGUAGUCCACGCCCUAAACGAUGAUAACUCGAUGUUUGCGAUACACAGUAAGCGUCCAAGCGAAAGCGUUAAGUUAUCCACCUGGGGAGUACGGUCGCAAGAUUGAAACUCAAAGGAAUUGACGGGGGACCGCACAAGCGGAGGAGCAUGUGUUUAAUUCGAUGAUACGCGAGGAACCUUACCCGGGCUUGAAAGUUAGUGAUGAUCCAGAGACGGAUCAGUCCUUCGGGACACGAAACUAGUGCUGCAUGACUGUCGUCAGCUCCGUGCCGUGAGGAGUCUGGGUAAGUCUCGCACGAGCGCACCCCUAUGUCAGUGCAUGCAUGUUAUGAUGGGGACUCUAAACAGACUGCAGCGUAAGCUGGGAAGAAGUUGGGACAGACGUCAGUCUAUCAUGG
rnacentral:rRNA from 1 species